AGAGUUUGAUCCUGGCUCAGAGUGAACGCUGGCGGCGUGCUUAACACAUGCAAGUCGAGCGAAGUCUAUCAGCGUAUCGGUAGACUUAGCGGCAGACGGGUGAGUAAUACUUGGGCAAUCUGCCCUUAAGAGGGAAACAACCUGCCGAAAGGCGGGCUAAUGUCCCAUAAGACCACAGGGAUGCAUAUUCAAGGGGUCAA
rnacentral:rRNA from 1 species